CUACAGUAUUGUUGAAGAACAGGCGUUCAGGAGUCUUUUGAACGGCGUCGUUCCCGAAUAUGUUGUGCCAGCACGUAUGACUUUCUCAAGAUCCAUUGUGCCAGAAAUGUUUAAGGAAGCUAAAGAGCACGUGGAGUGCGAACUGCGUUCGAUCUUUGAAGAAUCAGAAGUUAUCCCUCUUCUGCACCGUGUGCACAGUGUACUCGAAAAAGAACUGGCAUGUGGAGACAAUGAAAGUGCCACCUUUGGAAAGAACUUGCAACUAUCCUUAAAAACAUGAUUCCCCAGUUACAAGACAACUCCUCUUUGUGUUCUAGCUACUGUACUUGACCCAAGGUUCAAAGAUAUCUGUUACUUAACUGGAACAGAAAAGAGCUACAUCAAGACACUGAUAUGCACAACUGCUGAGAGGGAUUUUUCUGACCCUUUGGAACCUGCAAGAUUUCUUGCUUGUCAAGAGAAUGUAGAAGGCACAGAGAAGUCGGCUGUGUGGGGCAUCUUUGAAGAACUGGCAACGCAAAAAGUGUGUACCUUCAAGUGGCACCAAUAAAUGACCAGCUGUGUCAGUACUUGGAGUCACCCCUUCUCCCUCGACAAGAAAAUCCUCUAUCAUAGUGGGGUACAACUGGAAAUCAGAAAUCCCCCUUUUUGCAAGAGCAGCCUGAAGGUACCUCUCCAUACCAGCAACGCAGGUUGACACCGAACGACUUUUCUCUACCUGCAGCAGCACUGUCACAAAUCGUCGUUGUGAUCUCUUGCCUGAACAUGUUGAACAAUUGGUUUUUCUCCACGGCAACAAGGUCUGACUGACAGAAUUCGGGCAGCUUGAACUGUAGCAACAGUUGUAUUUGUAUUUUCUGAAUUAAAGUACGUCGUGUUUUGGUUCCCCUGCGUUAUUUGUCGUGUAUUCGACUCGAUUCGAUAUUUAUUCGUAUUCGAUUCAGUGCCCUUUAUUAUUCGAUUCGCAUUCAGCAUUCAGCACGACAUGUUCAGCACACCAACGUGAUAUACAGUAAGCCCUCAUUAACUCGAACUCACUUCUCUCAAAAUGUCAGUUAUCUCGAAUUUUUUUUGCAUCCCGAUCCUUGUCCCAAUGUUUCCUAUGUAUUUUGGCCCUUUUAAGUCGAAGUUUUUUUUUGCCCGAGUGCGGAUAUCUCAAAAUUCCAUCACUGCGUAGGUCACCGUACCUACUGCUGAUAACGUGCAUUCAUCGGUCCCCCAUGCUAGGUUAAGGUCUGUUAUAUACUGGUUUAUUGAGCUCCGUGACAGCCACACUGGCAUCGCGGGAUGCGCGUGCAACAGUUCUAUAUUCGCUUCUACAACACGCAUGGUGCGGAAUAAACUCCGUUCCUGCUAACAGUCUCCUCACUGCCUGGACAUUGAUAAGGUCAAAGCCUCAGUCCUAGUUACUCACUCUCACCCUUGCAACAUGCUGCCAGCUGCGGCAGGCUGACAGCACUGCCCUUUUCACCCAACGUCACUCCUCCUCCUCCUCCUCUGCAUUCGUCAGUUUCGUUUCGUUCUUCGCACGUGAUGGCUGAACAACGCACAUGCAAGUCCCUGACUUUGGAGCGGAAGGUGGCCCUUAUCAGAGGCCUGGCAGCAAGUUCAUCAAGCAUCUAUCAUGAACUGUUUCGUUCAUGCGGGUUUCUCGUCUCCCAUUGCCGUACCGAAGCCAGCAGACGAGUUCAGAGGCUGUGAUGAAUCUUGCAUGUGAUGCGCCUCGCAUGUUGCGGGGAGAUGACUUGAACAUCGAGGAUUAUGCGCUUUACGACGGCGAUGUUCCAGUAAGCGGUGAAUUGAGUGACACUGAAACCGUUGAGAGUGCAGAAUGCCCUUGGUAGUGACGUGCGGGGAGGAGCGUCUCAUGCGUUGCAUUGAAGUGCUUGAAAAUGCUUUCUUGCUCCCAGACGCGAAUGCCAAGCAGACUGCUAUUACGGUGUUCUUCCCUCUCAGAUGAUGUUGAAAAAUGAAUGGUUUCGAAUUGUUUACAAGCCCUAUUACUGUAGGAACGUUUUUUUUUCUUCUUCUUUUUUACAUUUCAUAACAUAGCGCGUUGUGGUAACAUUGUGGCAACAUAAUUUUCGCUAUUCUCUUAACGCGAAACCCCGCUUAUUUCUAAAGUUUUCCCAUUUUUUACGACUUCGAGUUAUCGGGGGUUUACUGUAUUAGCAUUCCAAUAGACUUCAAAUGACAUCAUAGUGUUUGACAGCGCCACCAAUUUGGUAGAGUUGAACUACGCUAGAAGUUAGGGGAGAACAAGGUCGCACCCGAAAGCCACGGUCUUGAGGGGAUUACAAUGGUCCCUGAAAGGGACGCGACCUUCGGUCCUACUUUUCUUUCAAUAGGAUGCAGCGAACAAGUGCCCAUUCGUGGAACCCAGCCCUCCCCUUCCGAUUUGUUUCGGUUUCAGUCUGUCUACCAAUGUCAUGGUGACGUUUCUCAGGCAGAUGUCUAUUGCAAUGUCUUCACACCAGCAAGCAUUUGCGCCAGUCACCAUCACUGAUCUCGAUUGUAAAAGGCUGGAUCGCGGAUUGGGAGCGCGAGCGUGAAGAAACCGGCCGCCAUCUUACUGUACCCACAACAGUCGCCGCAGCGAUCAUGGCAACUUCUUGCAAUUACGGUCGUACCAACCGUACUGGCAAGGUUACAGGGCCUAAAUUUAUACAGGUGAGUCACUCUUCAUCGAGGAAUAAAUAGGCGUCCAUUCUGUAUAUUUAGUUGACCAUUAUGAAGUGUUUUUUUGCCCAAAACGAGCACUGGAUGCAGGUUGCUUGAUCGCUCUUCCGACGUUCAAUCGAGCACAUUUGCAUUUUACCCGGCGGCAAAUACAGUUUGAGUGCAUAAUAUGCUUGAAAGAACACGUUACACUACACAGGUAGUGUUGUCAUCAAUAUAUGUGCAAGCACUCUAGCGCUUUUUUGCAUGCAUUGCUAGCAUGGUACACGGUGUUCUCUGCGGAAGCAAGUGCCACAUUCAUUUCUUUGAAUUACCUUCGCGCACAAGUUCGGUAUUACGUCGUAAUGAGACCACGAUUGUCACCUUUUUUCAUGUAUUGGUAUUGUUUUGUGCCUUGGUUUGAUUUGUGACAAAGAAUCCUAUGUAACGGUGGUGUGGCGCGACUUGGAUAACGCCUUUGUGUCUGAGUUGUAUCGUCAGCUUGUUACGAUAGUAAUAAUUUGUAGCGUGUCGUGCUAUUUGUAGCAGUUUUUAAGGCAAAAGUGGUCUCUCAAUACAGGUUUCGUCAUGAGGGCUACCCAGUGAAUAAUCUGUGCAGUGUGAUACGGCUGGGUGUACAGGUUACUUCACAGCUGCCUCGACAUACUCAAGAAAUGGAUGCAGAACCUGCGUAAUGCCCACAAACUACCACAGCACCUCCAGAAAGUAAAGGCAUAUGUGUCACAUCGGAUUUUUAAAAGCAUUCACAGUAUAUAAUACCUUGUAUGAACUGUUGUAGAUCUAAGCAGCCUCUACGGUACACUCUCAGAAAUUAAAACUUGUCAGAGAACUG